GGUCAUGGCUGCAGUGGUUUGAGUGUUGGACUUUGACUCUGGAGUCUAGGGUUCAAUUCCCAGCUUGGCCA
rnacentral:tRNA from 1 species